UAACUACGACGUACCCAGAUCCCCUGGCC
rnacentral:sRNA from 1 species